AAGAAGUUGCAAAGGAUUUGAUUUGGUGAUCCCUCUUCAGAAACAUCAGGUAUGUUAUUUAAAUUUAUGCAUUAACAACCAAAUAAUAAUGACUAGAUAUUUCUUAUGAAAUAAUAGUUAUUAUGUGUACUCCUCAAAAGUUGUAUUGGAAUAAUUUGUUUUUAAAACAAAGCUGGACAUUAAAUUCAAUUGUGAUUGAUUUCAACCCACUGAUACAAGGGGCAUGCUUGCAAGUAUAGCAGCCAAAAAAAAACUAAAUAAACAAUAACCAUACUUUUAGACUUAGAUCCUCCCCCUCUGUUUGGUGCAUUGAGUGGCAAGCUGUCUCCAAAAAGAUCUGUCUGAAGUCUGUUCACCCAUAUUUAUAGAAAUAUAAAAAGAUUCUGACUUCUAGAAAAGAUAAAAAAUGGAAAAGCUAACUAAACUUUGACAAUGUAAUGGAAAAAAAAUCAAUGUUGAACCAUCCUAAUAGUUUGUGAUGAGAAAUGUCAUCAGCCACCUUGGCAGCAGUACCAAAAAAACUGCCAAGCCAAAUGUUAGGCACUGUCAUUUUUGUCUAGUAAAUGAUGUUUCACAGCAAUACAGUGCAGCCCUUCAUCAGAACAAUGUUGCCUGAGUACUGAAACUUAAAUAAGUUUAGAAACCUUUGAAAGCAUCUUGUCAAAUUACAACCAAUACCUUCUGAAGAACUUUAUAAAAUGGUACUCAAAACAGCUUAGUUUUCUCUUUUAGUGAGUGCUGACAAAACAUUAAUGAGGAAGUGGACUCAAGAUAAGGAUACCAUCAUUUAUAUUACAUUUAACUUAUGCAUUACACUUUUUAUAUUUUAAUUUUGCAUUUUAAAAUGUAAUUUUUGCUUGCAAUAUUUUAUCAACUUUUUUUUUUUUUAGAUCAAAGGAAUGUACAUGCUGCUGAUAUAGAAAAAGUUUCUGACUGCUUACAGAUCAGUGUUCUUAGUUCUGCUAUUGAUUUACUAUUGCAUAAUAAAUAAACAUGUAAUGAUCAAUCACAUUUUUAUACCAAGUUCAUCUAAUGAUUUGCACAGCAUAUUAUCAGCAUUCACAGUUCAUCUAAUGAUCUACAUAUGAAGCAGCACCAUGCAGAGCUAACAUCACCUACUGAAGAGAGUUUCCAUCAUGCUUUAGCAACAAUCCAAAAACAAAAUGAAAAAGUGGUUUCUUUGUUUGGGACAAGUCCUGAAAGGCCUUCAGAAUCUGGGAGCACACUAUUGUUAACAAGCAGUGUGUCAUAUGACCAGCUCAAUGACCAACAGCCUUUACUUUUCGAACCAAAGUCAGGUAACUAUGAAACUAUCUAAAGCACAUAGGAGUCUAAUGACACAUUUUUACUAAACUUUAAAUUAAAUGGAUCUUAAAUGUCUAGUGAAACAUUGUAAUCAAACUAUGAUUUUUGAAUAUAGUCUAGUAAAACAUUAUGAUUAAACUUUGUUUAGUGCAUAAAUGUCUAGUGAAAAAUUCUGAUAAAACUUUGUUUAGUUCAUAUGAGUGUAGUGAAAAAUUGUGACCCAACUUUGUAAUAUGCAUAAAAGUCUAGUGAAACAUUUUGAUCAAACUUUGUAAAGUUCAUAGAUGUCUGGUGAAACAAUCUGAUCAAAUCUUUUUAGCGCAUAAAAAUCUAGUAAAACAUUCUUAUCACCUAUGCUUAUCUUAUAGAAGUCUAAAAAAAAGUUCCCUUUUCAGUCCUUGUAAUCUAUAGGAAAGUUGAUAUUAAGGUUAUAAAUCUGUUUUUGUGGCCUACAGUUAACAAGCAGUUUGUCAUGUCUCCUUAUUAAAGGUUCUGGAUUUGUUAGUGGUUUGCAGCUUGUUCAUAUUUCCUUUUUGAACUCAUUAGUAUUUCUGAACUUCUUUUUAAUUUCUUAGACAGCUCAUUAGGAGUAUGGAACCCUUUCCUAUGACAACUUUUUAGGAGUGUUAUGGUAUCAUUGAUAUGUGUGUGUGUGUUUUAUGAUUAGGGUUAGUUAUGCAAUGAGAAUGAUGCAAGAUAAGCCGCCUUGUCAUUAGUGUUCUUGACUCCAGAAUGCCUAUUUGAAAGUACAUUUUUUAGUGAGUUAGAUUUUCUUUGGAAUACAAUUUUUUCAUUAUUACUAAGUUUAUUACAUUUAGGCUUUCCCCCAGGAUAGAUUACAGUUAUUCAUUUCAUUUAAACUUGAUUUUCUUUAUAAUGUAAUUCAAGUUCUGUUUUGUUUGUUGUAAAAUGUUUUACAUGUUUCGGAUGUUCCUUCAGAGUUGAAGAUAAUUACUUCCUAGUCCUAACCUCCUGCAGGACGACAGGGGAUGGGAGCGGGCAGGGUUUGAACCCUGGACCAUCGAUAAAUCUGAACGACAGUCCAGCGCGCAAACCACACGACCAGGCAGCCAUCCAGUUCUAUUUAGUAUUAAUCACAAAAAAUCAAUAAGUAAUUUCAAGUUAAGAUGUAAUAUACCUUUAGUAGUUUAAUUGUGUACCAGCAGUUUGGUGCUUCAGGUCAACAACCAUACACUACAAGGAGUUGUCAACUGGUUGAUACUUACUUUGAGAACUCAUUAGGAGUUUGCAACUUGUUAACAUUUUCUUAGCUCAUCAGGAGUUUGCAUCUUGUUCAUAUUUUCUUAGAUCAGUGUUUCCCAAACUGUGUUCUGUAGAACCCUAUUUAACUAGUAACCACAACAUAAAUUUAUCUCUGUAAAAAAAACAACAACAAAAUGUUUCGCUAAUGACUCAAAAUGUGUGAAGUGUUCCAUUAAGAAAAAUAAUGCCUUAGAGAACUAACUAAGAGUUUGCAACUUGUUCAUAUUUCAUAAUAUAUAGCUCAUUAGGAGUUUGCAACUUGUUUAUAUUUUAUUAGACAACUUAUAAGGAGUUUGAAAUUCAUUCAUAAUUCCUUGACAACUAAAGGAGUCUGCAACAUGUUCAUGUUUACUUAGACAGCUCAUUAGGAGUUAAGAACCUAUUCAUGUUUCCUUAGAGAACUUAUUAGGUGUAUGGAACUUGUUCAUAUCUCCUUGACAGUUCAUUAAGAUUCUGCAAUUUGUUCAUAUUUCAUUUGACAGCCCAAUAGGAGUUCAGAACUUGUUCAUAUUUCCUUUCUUGAAGGUCACCAAUACAUUUCUGUAAAUAAUGUUGAAUAAUGUCUAUAUUCAAAUUUUUUUGAAAUACUAAAUUUGAUUUAAAUGGCUUUGGUUAGAUUAAAAUCAUGUCUGAAACUUUGUCACAAGUUUAGAGAUUGUCUAUUCUUACUCUUAAUUUUACCUUUUUAUUAACUUGCGUAUUUUUGUUUUUAUUUCUUACUCAUAAUUUUUACCUUUUUAUUAACUUGUGUAUUUUUGCUCUUUUUUUAGGACACUGUUCAAAGAUAUUUUAAGAUGUUGGCCUCACAUCUUGACACUUGUUAGAGUGUAAAGAUUUGACUUAACAAAUGUUAAAAUAAAAAGAGCACAUUGUGGAGAGUUGACCGUCAUUAAAAAAUGAUUGUCAGACUUCUGCUAGAUGUUGAUCUGUUCAUCACAACACCAAUAACUUCUUCUUGGAGUCAAGUAACAGUGUAUAUCACCUGAAAAAGCUAUUUAAAUUCCCUUAAAGAUCACAAAUUAAUGCUGAUGACAUAAAGCACAUUUAUCCACGAAAUCUUAUGAACACAUAAUAUUAUGUUGUACAACUAAAUAGUGGUGUCUGGAAAUUUAGGCAGUGUGUAUGUAGUGUAUAUGCUUAUUUAUUAUUUAUCUGUUUCUUAAACAUAGGCUUAUGUUCCCCGCGCUACCCAAACUAUAAUUCGGAGUGUGAAACAUAACAGAUUAACAGGUGCUAUAUUAUGUUUCGUUUAACAAAGAUUUUCUUACACUCUACAUAUUCCUCCCCCCCCCCCCCCGAGAGGUGGGCCAGGGGUAGUGGUAAGUAUUAUAAUCACGGACUGAGAAGACCUAACGGCAAGCGAGAAAGGGGUUACGUCGUCACUAGAUCUGUGUCAGCUCAAUACAAUUUUUUCUCUUCGUGGUGUAGUCUUAAUCAUAAACAGAUAAAAAUUAAAGUUUUAAGAUACUGUUAAUCUUCUAUAAUAAAAUGCUUAUUUCUUAUAGUAAUACGUUUCCCGUACUAGAUCUUUAUAAUUUAUUGUCAUUGCUCUAUAUAGUAUAGAUCACUUACUCACAAUGCAUACUUUUGUUGAAAAGAAAAAUAAUUAAACAUAUCGUGUAGAUAUAGAUGCGUGUUUCAUUAUGUUCGUGUAUAUUUUUGUUUUAUUUUAUCAAUAUUUCGCUUUGCUUGGUGACUUAAUAGAUAAAAUAUAAAUCUAAUUGUUAAUAUAUAUUUUGUUGUUGAUAAUUUCUUAAAUAGAAAAAAAGAAGAAAUAACAAGUUGUUCAUCAAAUGAUUAUUAACAUUUUAUUUAGACCUUCAUUUGAGUAAAUAAAAAAAAACAUAGUUGAACGCAUAAGAACAAAACACUCUCUUUAAAACAUGUUAUUUGAAGUUCAAUGUAGAUAAAGGAGAUCAAUAUGCUUAAAAACAACAUGGUGGGCGGAAUAGAUCUAGUUAUCUGGGCGUCUGAACUUCUAAAUCUUGUAUAUCUAGUUCUAGAUCUAGAGCAGGGCUGAGCAAAUAACGACCCCCCUGGCCACAAGUGGCCCGCUGGAAUGUUUUAUGUUCUAAUAUUACUGUAAGAACUGGUCGAUGCUGACUGAUAGUAAUUUAACAGCAGUCGCAAGGAUUACAACUAGUAAUAUAUCUAAAACAUUUUUAAUCUUUUAAUUUUCACAAUGAAAUCAUUUUCUUUUUACUCCAGCGCAAGAACACCAUCCAAUCCAAUCACUCGUUCAGCCUUUUUUUUUUUUUUAUACAUUUGCGUCAUUCGCGAUUUCACUAGUUGGUCACGUGACAGGGCCCAGCUCUUGUCCCUAUCGGUUAUACAAAUGGGUCAAAUGAAAUUUUCUUUAAUUGUGAUUAAUUUAAUUUAGCCAUAGAAAGAAAUAAUGAUGUAGCGCUGUCUUUAAUCUAGAAUAAAUAAUCAAUGUAAUGUAGGUCGAUUGUAUUUAAUAUUUAAUAGAUCUACAUCUAUAUCUCAUGUGUAUUGUGUAUUUCAAAUAAAUGUUGUUGUUUUUUUAACUUUUUUUUGUGACUUCACGAAAGGUAUUGUGUAUGUGUUUUUUUUUGCUUUUUUUGUUUGUCUUUGACUGUUUACAAAACGUAUGGUAUUCUAUUUUGGCCAUAUUUCAUAAUGUGUAGCAAUUCAUCACUUUUAAUUUAAAUUUAUUCUAGUUUACUAGUUAAAUUUAUAUGAAGAGAUGCUCGUCCCUCCUCUUUUCGCAUUCCGGACUUGGGACCAGACAGUGGUGAAGUUGCCGACAUUGCAACUAACUAAUCCUAACUAUAGGCAACAUUUUUUUUUUUACUUUCAUCAUGUAGGCUUCUUUUACACUCAUAUCCGUCAUGUAGUCUUGUUCAACCCACCCACAUUUGCUUAUCUUCUUAAGAGUGGUACAGAUGUUUAAUUAUGCCUUAUGGUUAACACUCUUUAGGGCCUUCCUCUGCCUAUAAAUCCCCCUUUUUUAUGUACUUAUUAAAGCUGGAUACUCUAGUUAACACCUAGUUGAAUGCUAGACAGAAUGGCAGCUAUAGAAGUAAUAAAAAUUUAUAUAAGGAGA